UUCAGCCUCUUCUCUCCCCAGCAGGGACAAGUCUGAACGGAUACCAUGUUCAGCAGAGGCUCAUUUUCCAUUUUUCCAUGGCAAAGAAUCUGAGCACUAGACAGGCUUUCUUAUAGACUCGGAACGUGCAGCAACUAAGGGCAAGUGGAAAUUUCCUUUGGUUUACCACCCUCCAUCUCGCUUGCUCCAACAUGUGGAGAACGUGGGUAAUAAGCAUACUCUCCCCUUUAAUCACAGCAUGGCUUGGACAUGCAUUGUUGUGAGGGAACGUGUUUCUCCAAGAGGCUCACACAGUCGGUCUCGCUGGCUACUCUGUCUGGAUCAAUUCAAACACGGAGAAGAAGAUGGAUUAAAACAGUGCUGUGUGGUGAAGGGAGGGGAAAGGCAGAACCUUGGGGACUGUUGGACUUGAGUGUGCCCGAGUACGGUGGAGGGGAAGGCCUUUGUUUUUGCGGACAGCCCUGGGGGGGAAUCAGUAUUUUAUAUCAUGUAUUUUAACGAAGCAGCAAACCGGGUGCAGUCCGGAGCUCGCAGGGAGGAAGCCAGCAAGUGUGAAGCAGACAAGGGGACGAUUCUCCUCAGUUCUCAGCUCUCCUGAUGAUUCUGAAGGCGUUGGAGUGGGCUGUGCCGCCUCUCACCGUGCAUCCUUACAUAAUUCACAACGCUUCAGACUGAUUUCCCUAAAGCAAUCCCCUUUGUGAAGCCCCUGGGUGGAGAGAACCUCUUACCACCCAGAUGCAUCUGUUCUUCUUUUAAGGUGAUAAAGGCAUAGAAACAUAGGA